CGAGUAUGCAGGCCCAAUACUCAAUAGCUCGAUCCGAUCCAAGCACAUGAGUUGACUGCGGCGCCAGGUUAACCGAUGUGCUAAGAGAGUUGUUCCUGGGCCUUCAAAGUGACUUCAAAACUAUCUUAGCGAAUGGUGGCCAUGGGCGUAGACAUGAGCCACAAGUCACAAGGCCUGGGACUAUUGGGUAAUAAAGACAACUUAGUCAGAAAGUUAGUCUUUGGAC